CACAAUUCAAACUUAUAAUUUACAUUGAUACAAAUCAAGGUACAAAGCCUCAAUAUACUCAAACUGGUUCAAGGCGUAUACAAUCCAAAUACAAAACAUUCUAUUCGAGGAAUAGCGCGAGUACAAGUCAAAAGUCAAAAGUCAAAAACAACUAGACUAUGCUAGUCUUUACAUGUCUCAUGCCUCGCUCGUACCUCCUGUAAGGAGAACAAAUAACGUGGUAUGAGCUAAAAGCCCAGUGAGGUUCCAAAUAGCAAAUUGACCAUUAUUUAUAAGUACAAGUUUUCGAUAUAGCAACGUAACGAGCAUGAAGAGUUCAUAAAAGUGAGCAAUAACACUUCAAGUAGCAAUCUCAAAAUGAGCGAGUGUAAAAGUUUUCAGAAGAAAUAAUAAUCCAAUAAACAGUAAUCAUUCCAAAGCAUAAGGAUACGGAUGGCUCUCAGGAGCCAACUUCCAUUCAUCAUCAGGAGCUUGAUCACGUAGUAGUUGACACUCCGUCAACUUUCAAGUAAAGGAACCAAUCCAGUAGAACACCACUUACACUACUCUCCGUCCACCAUUCACACCCCCUACUGGGCCCAAAAUUCUCAAUAAACACGGGUGGUAAUACUCGAGUAUACCGAUUAGUCGAGGAGAUAUCACUCCACUCGACAAAGCAAGAGACCCAGGGCUCGUUACCUAAUCGACCAAGCCCUUGCCGGCUCGACUAGAGUAACUCGUCUCAGGGUUUCUGGAAUUCCAGGAAGUGCGCACCUCAUAAACAAGUAUAUCAAGUCAAUUGCAAUCAAUAAACAAGUAUAUCACGUAAGGGCAAGUGCGAUAAAGUAUACUCUUGCCCUAUCAAUUCACGUAUAUAACAUGUACUCAUAUUGGUCAAAUAUCAAGUUCAAGUAUCUAGUGCAAUUCGGUAUUUGAAAGCACUCACCAAAAGAUAUAGUGCUUCUAGUAUUCACGUUCAGUUAUACUCCAGGUUUGGAGUCCAGAUCUGCGAUAAAAAUUCAAUUUGAGAACUUUGAAACAUGACUAAGAUUCAAAACUUAGACGUUUCAUUCAAUCAAAAUCAAGAAAUUGGAAUUCACUUGGAGAGUAGUCAUGAAACACUUGCUCGCCUCUUUAAACAGUAAAACUUUGUAAUAUGUAUACUUGAAAUUGUCCUGCGAGUUGAAAGUACAAGGAAAACAUACUUCGAGCAAUCAUUAUUUCAUUUCUCAAGGGUACAAGUUCGGCCAAAUCCUUACUUAUAUACCUCGAAACAAGAAGACUCAAGUACCCUAGAUGGUUCAAGUACUAUUCAUAUCAAUUCGACCCAAGUCGUAAGUGUAUUUAUAUAGUUCUCGAGCGUAAAUUCGGGCAGCAUGCCCUUUGUGUUUACCUAAUUUUCCAGCCAUUUAGGCUUCAUUAUUUUUCCUCAGCCACAACCCAAAGUCACACAUAUCAUAAUUCAAGUCAAAAGCCGUUCCAUAGGCUCACAACAUCAUAAGAAUAAGAAUCACAAUAAUCACAAGUGCAGAAAUACAAUCUAGUAAAAGACAGAUUCGACGUGUGGAUGCGGAAAUAACAUAUCCGAGGCUACACUUAUCGGAUUGAGGCGCAACCUAUGCCAUUUCGAAGCUAAGACACAGGGCUACAAUGUUCAUGAAGAUCACUUAGUCCAGUUUCUAAUGCAACUUAGUCAAAUCCUCAAAUUACAGAACCAAAAUCCAACUCGUCGGCUAUAAAACCGCAUUGUACUGUAAUGGUCAUAUUUCAGGUUACAAAAGUCCGAUUUAGGUGUUCUUAGAGGCGUUUGAAAUCUAAGUCAGAAUACUACAACUUUCAUGUUUUGGAAAAAAGCUAAAUCAGUACGGAUACUAGUGAAAAAACGUGAUAAACAGAACAAACUGACCAAACGGACUGCUAGGGAAAAACUUAAAACAGUAAGGGUAUUUUGGACUUUUCACGACCUACGUUGCUCCAAUUGAGUUGAAAUUUUGUAGGCACCUACAAAAUACCAUUAUAUACAACUUUCAUUCUUUGACAUAAGGCCAAUUCGGCCUCUAACAUGAGGUUACAAAAUCGGACAGAAUGGAAGCAGAAUUUUCCAGAAAUCUGGAAUUUUCAAUUUUUAAUGCAACCUUCCUCAAUUUCUUACUUCAAUCACUACCAAAACCCCUUAUACAAACUUAAUUGCAACAUAUAUGCAUCAUACAUCAAAUUGGCAGCAAGUCUCAAACCCUAGUUCAUCAUAUCAAAAAGGGGAAAACCUUCAAAACAUGAUAGUAUCCAUGAUUCCACCACAAAUUGAGUUACUAAGCUUAAUUUAAACAAGAUUGAAAGUAAAAAUUAGAGAGAUCAUCUUUCUUACCUUGAUUAGAGUUCACCAAGUAUAGCCUUAGCUUUCCCUUUCCAAAAUCUCACCAACAAUCACUAACUAAUCACUCAAAGGUAAGUUUAAUCGGUUUCUUUCUUUUGUUUUCUCACUUAGUAGCUUGAUUCAAGAAGAAAUGGAGGAGUUCCUCUCUUGUUCUUUCCCUCUCUCUCUCUCGGCUCUCCAGC
rnacentral:lncRNA from 1 species